AGCAUUAAACUUUAGUGGCGAACGGGUGAGUAACGCGUAAGCAAUCUGCCCCUAAGACGAGGAUAACAGUUGGAAACGACUGCUAAGACUGGAUAGGAGACAAGAAGGCAUCUUCUUGUUUUUAAAAGACCUAGCAAUAGGUAUGCUUAGGGAGGAGCUUGCGUCACAUUAGUUAGUUGGUGGGGUAAAGGCCUACCAAGACUAUGAUGUGUAGCCGGGCUGAGAGGUUGAACGGCCACAUUGGGACUGAGACACGGCCCAAACUCCUACGGGAGGCAGCAGUAGGGAAUUUUCGGCAAUGGAGGAAACUCUGACCGAGCAACGCCGCGUGAACGAUGAAGUAUUUCGGUACGUAAAGUUCUUUUAUUAGGGAAGAAUAAAUGAUGGAAAAAUCAUUCUGACGGUACCUAAUGAAUAAGCCCCGGCUAACUAUGUGCCAGCAGCCGCGGUAAUACAUAGGGGGCAAGCGUUAUCCGGAAUUAUUGGGCGUAAAGGGUGCGUAGGCGGUUAAAUAAGUUUNUGGUCUAAGUGCAAUGCUCAACAUUGUGAUGCUAUAAAAACUGUUUAGCUAGAGUAAGAUAGAGGCAAGUGGAAUUCCAUGUGUAGUGGUAAAAUGCGUAAAUAUAUGGAGGAACACCAGUAGCGAAGGCGGCUUGCUGGGUCUUUACUGACGCUGAGGCACGAAAGCGUGGGGAGCAAACAGGAUUAGAUACCCUGGUAGUCCACGCCGUAAACGAUGAGUACUAAACGUUGGUUAAAACCAGUGUUGAAGUUAACACAUUAAGUACUCCGCCUGAGUAGUACGUACGCAAGUAUGAAACUUAAAGGAAUUGACGGGACUCCGCACAAGCGGUGGAUCAUGUUGUUUAAUUCGAAGGUACCCGAAAAACCUCACCAGGUCUUGACAUGCUUCUGCAAAGCUGUAGAAACACAGUGGAGGUUAUCAGUUGCACAGGUGGUGCAUGGUUGUCGUCAGCUCGUGUCGUGAGAUGUUGGGUUAAGUCCCGCAACGAGCGCAACCCUUAUUGUUAGUUACCAGCACGUAAUGGUGGGGACUUUAGCAAGACUGCCAGUGAUAAAUUGGAGGAAGGUGGGGACGACGUCAAAUCAUCAUGCCCCUUAUGACCUGGGCUACAAACGUGAUACAAUGGCUGUUACAAAGGGUAGCUGAAGCGCAAGUUUUUGGCGAAUCUCAAAAAAACAGUCUCAGUUCGGAUUGAAGUCUGCAACUCGACUUCAUGAAGUUGGAAUCGCUAGUAAUCGCGAAUCAGCAUGUCGCGGUGAAUACGUUCUCGGGGUUUGUACACACCGCCCGUCAAACCACGAAAGUUGGCAAUACCCAAAGCCGGUGGCCUAACUUCGCAAGAAGAGGGAACCGUCUAAGGUAGGGUCGAUGAUUGGGGUUAAGUCGUAACAAGGUAU
rnacentral:rRNA from 1 species